rnacentral:rRNA from 1 species
AUUGAACGCUGGCGGCAUGCCUUACACAUGCAAGUCGAACGGUAACAGGUCUUCGGAUGCUGACGAGUGGCGAACGGGUGAGUAAUACAUCGGAACGUGCCCGAUCGUGGGGGAUAACGCAGCGAAAGCUGUGCUAAUACCGCAUACGAUCUACGGAUGAAAGCGGGGGAUCGCAAGACCUCGCGCGGACGGAGCGGCCGAUGGCAGAUUAGGUAGUUGGUGGGAUAAAAGCUUACCAAGCCGACGAUCUGUAGCUGGUCUGAGAGGACGACCAGCCACACUGGGACUGAGACACGGCCCAGACUCCUACGGGAGGCAGCAGUGGGGAAUUUUGGACAAUGGGGGAAACCCUGAUCCAGCCAUGCCGCGUGCAGGAUGAAGGCCUUCGGUUGUAAACUGCUUUGUACGGUAACGAAAGGUACCUUUCUAAUUAAAGAAGGGCGUCAUGACGGUACCGUAAGAAUAAGACACCGGCUAACUACGUGCCAGCAGCCGCGGUAAUACG